UUCGCCCUUAGAGUUUGAUCCUGGCUCAGGAUGAACGCUAGCUACAGGCUUAACACAUGCAAGUCGAGGGGAAACGACAUCGAAAGCUUGCUUUUGAUGGGCGUCGACCGGCGCACGGGUGAGUAACGCGUAUCCAACCUGCCCAUCACUUGGGAAUAACCUUGCGAAAGUAAGACUAAUGCCCAAUGAUAUCCCACGAAGGCAUCCGAAUGGGAUUAAAGAUUUAUCGGUGAUGGAUGGGGAUGCGUCUGAUUAGCUUGUUGGCGGGGUAACGGCCCACCAAGGCGACGAUCAGUAGGGGUUCUGAGAGGAAGGUCCCCCACAUUGGAACUGAGACACGGUCCAAACUCCUACGGGAGGCAGCAGUGAGGAAUAUUGGUCAAUGGACGAGAGUCUGAACCAGCCAAGUAGCGUGCAGGAUGACGGCCCUAUGGGUUGUAAACUGCUUUUAUAAGGGAAUAAAGUGAGUCUCGUGAGACUUUUUGCAUGUACCUUAUGAAUAAGGACCGGCUAAUUCCGUGCCAGCAGCCGCGGUAAUACGGAAGGUCCGGGCGUUAUCCGGAUUUAUUGGGUUUAAAGGGAGCGUAGGCCGGAGAUUAAGCGUGUUGUGAAAUGUAGACGCUCAACGUCUGCACUGCAGCGCGAACUGGUUUCCUUGAGUACGCACAAAGUGGGCGGAAUUCGUGGUGUAGCGGUGAAAUGCUUAGAUAUCACGAAGAACUCCGAUUGCGAAGGCAGCUCACUGGAGCGCAACUGACGCUGAAGCUCGAAAGUGCGGGUAUCGAACAGGAUUAGAUACCCUGGUAGUCCGCACGGUAAACGAUGGAUGCCCGCUGUUGGUCUGAAUAGGUCAGCGGCCAAGCGAAAGCAUUAAGCAUCCCACCUGGGGAGUACGCCGGCAACGGUGAAACUCAAAGGAAUUGACGGAAGGGCGAAUUCGUU
rnacentral:rRNA from 1 species